rnacentral:rRNA from 1 species
AUUGAACCCUGGCGGCAGGCUUAACACAUGCAAGCCGAACGAUGAUUAUCUAGCUUGCUAGAUAUGAUUAGUGGCGGACGGGUGAGUAACAUUUAGGAAUCUGCCUAGUAGUGGGGGAUAGCUCGGGGAAACUCGAAUUAAUACCGCAUACGACCUACGGGUGAAAGGGGGCGCAAGCUCUUGCUAUUAGAUGAGCCUAAAUCAGAUUAGCUAGUUGGUGGGGUAAAGGCCCACCAAGGCGACGAUCUGUAACUGGUCUGAGAGGAUGAUCAGUCACACCGGAACUGAGACACGGUCCGGACUCCUACGGGAGGCAGCAGUGGGGAAUAUUGGACAAUGGGGGCAACCCUGAUCCAGCCAUGCCGCGUGUGUGAAGAAGGCCUUUUGGUUGUAAAGCACUUUAAGCAGGGAGGAGAGGCUAAUGGUUAAUACCCAUUAGAUUAGACGUUACCUGCAGAAUAAGCACCGGCUAACUCUGUGCCAGCAGCCGCGGUAAUACAGAGGGUGCGAGCGUUAAUCGGAAUUACUGGGCGUAAAGCGAGUGUAGGUGGCUCAUUAAGUCACAUGUGAAAUCCCCGGGCUUAACCUGGGAACUGCAUGUGAUACUGGUGGUGCUAGAAUAUGUGAGAGGGAAGUAGAAUUCCAGGUGUAGCGGUGAAAUGCGUAGAGAUCUGGAGGAAUACCGAUGGCGAAGGCAGCUUCCUGGCAUAAUAUUGACACUGAGAUUCGAAAGCGUGGGUAGCAAACAGGAUUAGAUACCCUGGUAGUCCACGCCGUAAACGAUGUCUACUAGCCGUUGGGGUCCUUGAGACUUUAGUGGCGCAGUUAACGCGAUAAGUAGACCGCCUGGGGAGUACGGCCGCAAGGUUAAAACUCAAAUGAAUUGACGGGGGCCCGCACAAGCGGUGGAGCAUGUGGUUUAAUUCGAUGCAACGCGAAGAACCUUACCUGGUCUUGACAUAGUGAGAAUCCUGUAGAGAUGCGGGAGUGCCUUCGGGAAUUCACAUACAGGUGCUGCAUGGCUGUCGUCAGCUCGUGUCGUGAGAUGUUGGGUUAAGUCCCGCAACGAGCGCAACCCUUUUCCUUAUUUGCCAGCGGGUUAAGCCGGGAACUUUAAGGAUACUGCCAGUGACAAACUGGAGGAAGGCGGGGACGACGUCAAGUCAUCAUGGCCCUUACGACCAGGGCUACACACGUGCUACAAUGGUAGGUACAGAGGGUUGCUACACAGCGACGUGAUGCUAAUCCCAAAAAGCCUAUCGUAGUCCGGAUUGGAGUCUGCAACUCGACUCCAUGAAGUCGGAAUCGCUAGUAAUCGCAGAUCAGAAUGCUGCGGUGAAUACGUUCCCGGGCCU